CGCCAGACUCCUACGGGAGGCAGCAGUGGGGAAUAUUGCACAAUGGGGGAAACCCUGAUGCAGCGACGCCGCGUGAGUGAAGAAGUAUUUCGGUAUGUAAAGCUCUAUCAGCAGGGAAGAAAAUGACGGUACCUGACUAAGAAGCCCCGGCUAACUACGUGCCAGCAGCCGCGGUAAUACGUAGGGGGCAAGCGUUAUCCGGAUUUACUGGGUGUAAAGGGGGCGCAGACGGCAGCGCAAGCCAGGAGUGAAAGCCCGGGGCCCAACCCCGGGACUGCUCUUGGAACUGCGCGGCUGGAGUGCAGGAGGGGCAGGCGGAAUUCCUGGUGUAGCGGUGAAAUGCGUAGAUAUCAGGAGGAACACCGGUGGCGAAGGCGGCCUGCUGGACUGCGACUGACGUUGAGGCCCGAAAGCGUGGGGAGCAAACAGGAUUAGAUACCCCAGUA
rnacentral:rRNA from 1 species